GUACCACAUCAGCACCCAUGUCAGCAGCCACGUCAGUGGCCCGGUCAGCAGCCCUGGCCAACCAGGACAUGUCGCGUGGCAAGGAAACGCUGACAUGGGACGGGCCACGUGGGCGAUCCGCGUGCGCGUGAUCGGAUGGCCCAGAUCCGUUCCCGCGCACACAGACAGCCCAGAUCAAACGUGCACACGGACGGCCCAGAUUCACGCGUACGGACGACUCAGAUUCAAUCAGGCAUGGACGGUCCAGAUUGCAUCGCGAUGGAUGGCCCAGAUUUAAUCCCAAUUAAAUCGUGAUCGAACGGUCCAGAUUUAAUCUUGAUGAACGGUUGAGAUUAAAAGUCAAAGGGUAUAAAUAACCCCACCCACACCUGACCACAAAACCCUAGCCG
rnacentral:lncRNA from 1 species